AUAGACUUGUAUGGAAAUCCUCAUGCCAGGUUCAUCAUUGGCAAGGCCAAGCUCAUUCCUCAGUCACUCCUCUAUCAAAAUAUUCUUCAGAAGACCCACCCUUUAAUCUUGUCAAUCUGGAUUCUGUUGCUGAGGUGUGAUCACUCCUUACCAUUUGCACCUCAUUGCGAACACCUCUCUUGGUCCCACAGUUUUGAACGUUUUUCUGCAUGAUACUCUCUCAUCCAAGUUUUAGAUUCACUUAUCCAUGUAGUUCAGUUUUCCAAGAGGUAAGAGGCAUGUAAAGGUUAACAUCUUUGUGAAAAGUCACACAUCCUUGGACUCGUAUCUGAAGCAAAGACGUUCAUCAUUGAAUGUGUGCAGAGAGACGCUUACAGGGUCAAGCUGUCCUACAGAAGGGACAGAACAUCUCAAGAGGCAGUUGUCUUUGAAAACUGAAUCCAGUUAUCGAUUCUGAUGGCCUCCUGAGAAUCGGUGGUCAGCUGAUGAAUCUUUCACUCCAUGAAGUGGAAAUCACCCACUGAUCAUUCCUUUCUGCAGUUAUACAGCUACUCUCCUUGUACACUACCAACACGAGAUAGUCAAACAUCAAGGUAGAAUCAUCACCGAGACUUCUUUGCAUACAGAAGAUAUUUUGUUGGUAGGGGCUAAAAGACAGUUUAACAGUUUUCUUCACAACUGUGUAGCAUGUAGUACACAGUGGGGUAGGGCACCUGUGCAGAGGUUGGGAGACCUGCCUUCCGAUCAUUGAGCACAGAACCGCCUUUUACUAACAAUGGGAUCAUUGUGUUUGGUCCUGGAGUAUAACCACUUGCCUCACUCGUGAACGUCAAGCCAAUAGCAAGAGGUGGGCAGCCAUCUUUACAUGCUUAAGUGUAUGCACAAUACACGUAGAAUUUGUAGAGUCCGAGGAAUCAUGAAGCUUUAACAAUGUACUUGCCUCACGGCAGAAGUAUGUGCCAUAGUCAAUGCAAGACCUCUUAUACCAAUCACUAUAGAUCCUGAUUCACCUUACCUCUUAACUCCAGUGAUUCUUACUCAGAAGAGCUGCAAUCCACAUCCUAUUUGAGGAUCCUUUGAUAAUGCAGAUCUCUACUGUCAGCACUGGAAGAGUCUGGCAUCUUGUUAACACAUUUUGGGGCAGCUGGAGGAGAGAGUACUUGGUGACUUUACAGAGCCACAACGCUGCUGCAACAUUGAAGAAGGUGAUGUGGUCCUGCUCAAAGAUAGCCACAUGAAACAUAAUGAGUGGCCCAUGGUAGUAGUUACAAAGGCCCACACUGACAGAAAAUUCAGAAAGCUAGAACUAACAGUCAGCAAAGGUGGGACAUUUAAGAUGUUUCUUCAGGCCAUCAACGAGGUGAUACCUCUUGUGUCUCCCGGGAACUAAACUUUAAUGUACGAACAUUCUUCACUGUUGCGCUUGUUGUUCUUUCCUGUAAUUCGAAUUGUUUGUAGUAGUAUUGAGUUCGAUACCAGACAUAGUGUUAUGCCUUUUCUAAAUCUUUAAAGUAUUACAGCACCAUCUAGUGACCGUUUUUGAUAUGAGGCUGUUCUUUGAAUAUACUGUUUUAGUUGUUCUACUUCCUAUUGGCUAGUAAGCUCAUGUGAUUUAAGAUCAUAGUUCAAUUUCAGGCUUGUUGUGCAGUACUCUGAGCAAAGUUUCACAUUCCCUGUGGUGACUAUCAAAAUAUCUUUCACAUCCUCUCUUGAUGAGUCUUGGAAAAGCAUUGCUUGAUCCCGCUCUCUCACCGCCUAGGCCGGGGUUUGAUUCCCGGGCAGGGAACCAACCCAGACACUUGGAUUGUACUCUCAGUGCCGAUCCUAAGCCCAGAUAAAAUGGGAGGGUUGCAUCAGGAAGGGCAUCCGGUGUAAAACCUGUGCCAAAUCACAACAUGCGCACCAAUGAUCUGCUGUGGUGACCCCUAAGAAGAGCACCCGAAAGAACAACACCAUUUCCUUCAUCUGUUUAUUCUAUACACAGUGUUUACAAACAUGUUUACUUGUAUCGAAAGACACUGUGCAGCAAGCUGAAUGUUUUUUUUUUUAUUUACUGUUUUGGAGUUUUGCUUAAGAAAGAGAAAAGAGAUGAAAGAGGAUAAAAUUGGUCCUGAAAAAUUAUCGUGGAUUUGCCCCAGGUGUAAAUGAGUGUGCAAUCCAGGCAUGAAUGGUGACAUGCGAUGGACUGGCAUUAUACCCAGUGUUCCUGGGGUAAGCUCCACGUCUACAGUGACCCAGAAAGGAUAAAUUGAUGCACAGUGGUUUCUGUAUUAUUGUUUUCUAUGCAGAAUUUAGUAAAACAUGAGUGUGAGACAUGUGUGCAUGUGAAAGCAGGAUAAGUGUUUUUGGCUAAUGGAACAGCUGGAGUGAUGUCAUGCAGUGAGAGACCGAUGCAUGGACAAGGACACAGACACUUUGUUUCACGAAAGUUAACAUUUUCUGCGUUACCUACAAUGCUGUUUGACGCCCUGCUGAGAGUGGUGCUAGUGGGAUCUUGCCAUCACUUCAUCUCUGCCUGAAGAGAGCGAUGCAGCAGUGCUGAAGUCUUUUAGUUUGUCCAGGUCUCUUGCCUCCUCAUCUAUACACUGUACUCAACAAAUCAAGUUCCAAAACGUCAAUUAGCAACAGAAUCACUAAGCUUAAAUAAAAACAUAUUUUUUAAAUAUAAGGGUGGAGUUUUCCUUUAAGGUUUAUAAUCCAUUAACUACAUGGAAAACACUGGAACAAGGAUUAAUCUAAUAUUAUGUUAAAGAUUAAUGAGGGGAUAUCUGGAACCAUCCAUGGUUCCUUGGAGUUAAAGAGGUCAAUUCAUUUACAUAGCAGAAACUGGGGGUGAAAGGCAACAUAUUUUCUCAAAAAGAUGUUAAUUUUUGCUCUACUAAUUAGAUCUUUCCACCUCCAUUUCAGAAAGCUGGACAUCAAAUGCUAUUGUAUCUGCUGUAUUUAUUAUCAACUUGUAUGAUACUUUGAUCUUAGCACUACUGUGUAAAUGGGACCCUGUCUUAAUACGCAUGUUUAUGGUGUCACUGUAGAAUAAAAGACUUAAUUUUCCUGUAGUUUAUUUUAAUUGAAUACGGAAAUGGGCAAUUUCAUUUUCAAUGCAUUGCAUGAAGUGUGGCUUGGCACAUAUGUUACAUAUAGACUUACUUCAUUCCUCUUUUUGCCAGAAAAUUGAGUAAUGUAAUGAAUUAGCAAUAAAGCAGUACUUUUUGUAUUCAUUAAAAUUUAUCACUAGGAGAUUAAUGUCUUUUUUCUAUUUGAAAAGUUUUUGGUUAAGAGUAAGAACAAAGUGGGUAAUUUGCUCCUGCCCCAGUGGGCCUGUAUUAGCUCUUGUUGUAGUUCCUAUUUUUUGACCACUAAAUCUAUAGUAUCUAUAGUAUAGCGUCUAUAUAAAUCUAUAGAAGCUAAUUGGGGCAGUGAAUGCACUGCCCCCUGACUGUGCAACAUCAAGAAAGGCAAAUCAAUGGAACAUCUGCUUAUAUCUCUCAAAUAGCAAUAUUUUUUAAAUUGUUGGACACUCAAAAAAGGUAAUUAGUAUUUCAACAGAAUUUAAAAUGUUUGAAGUUGUGACUUUAUGAUGAUUCAUUUUUAUGGAACGGUUGAUCUAAAUGGUGGCCCACCUCUCCCUACUGACCAGCUGCCAUUAAUACUUUAUUUAAUUAUUUAUUUCACUCACUAAUAUGUGAAGAGGAACAACCCAAUAGCAUGAUGAAACUCUUCUACCCUGCACAAUUAACUGGGCAACUCGCCAAACAAUUUGCAUGCACAACUUACUGAACUGUCAGGAAAAAAAGGGAUACUGUUCAGGUACAUUUUUGUACCUCAUGGUUAAAAACAACAUAAAUAUAAGCUGAAAAGUACAAGAAGAACAGGCAAAGAUUUUUCCUAUUUUCAGCUGUCCAGUUUAGAUGAACUAUAGCCCACUGUAGCCUUAAAUUCCUGUGCCUGGCUGAGAGGAGUGGAACCCAAUGUGGUCUUCUGCUGUUGUAGCCCAAUCGCCUCAUGAUUCGAUGUGUUGUGCAUUCUGAGGUGUUUUUCUGUUAACCCGGUUACAAGAGUGGUUAUUUGAAUUUCUGUAGCCUUCCUGUUCUCCUCUGACCUCUCUCAACAGGUGCAGUGUUUUCCACAGAAAACACAGGGGACACAGACAGUCCACAUUUUUGCCAUCUUCCAGUUACCAACAAACCUGUAUUGGGUAUUUGGUGUUAGCUAGGUUUUGGCAUAUUACGUGUAGGGAGAGAGUAAAAUGUGGACUGUAUGGGGUCCCCAAGGACAAUUAUGGGUAAUGUUUGUGAACAGAUGUAACAUAAAAUAACAGACUGUUGUGAGUGACAGCUAAUAUCUGCAGGCUUGGUGAUCUGCCGAGAGAAAAGGAAGACAGUUUCAACUACUUUUUUUUUUUUUUUUUUUAAACCUCAGCACUGAUGCUUUUUUGCAGUUGAAGCAAUCAGAUCCUUCUGAAUGGUUAUGACUUAUCAGUAAAUUCAGGAUCUCUAAAUGUUCAGAUAAUAAAAGGUCAUACAAUGCAAUUGCAUUCACCAGUUUUCCGUAAUUGUCGCAGUUAGCUGAAUCAGCUUUGUAUCAUGUCUUCAUGUCCACAGAACACUUGCAUGAUCAGUAAAACAGUCUCAUCAAUCAGUCACUAAAUGUAUCUCUGUUUCUUCUUACCAUAUCAUUAUGCUGUAUAAUUUGCAGGCCUAGCCAACUUCUGCUUCUUCAUUGUUAAAAUAAUUUCAGGUUUCGCAGUUUCUUUAAUCUAGCCUGUUCACUAGAAUCAAGUGAGGCAAACAGGGUUGUUAAUAAAAAAUCCACACCAUUUUCUUCUCCUACUUUAGCCUUUCUGUCUUCUGUUACAGCUAAUUACAAGCUAUCUAACUAGCAAACAACCUUAAAUCUUAAAAUAAAAAUAACAGUUAACAAUACAAAUCCCUACACAACAUAUUCUAACUUUAAUAAAGCGAUAACACAUUAUUACACUGAAGUAAGAAUACCAAGUUUACCAAGUCUGUGAAACAAACUAAUACGUAACUGUGCAGACAGAUUAUUGAUGGGGGAGGAUAUUUUUAUAUUUGGGCAGACCACAUAGGAAAGCAAAGAGACCAGUACAGGGUAACUAGCAGCAAUAUGCCACAUUGCAGCCAGUCCUCAGUCUGUCAGUUGGAAGACUGCAAGGUACAGCUUGAGAUGGAACUUUUUCCCAGAGAGUGACAGUCCUCCAGGCAGUAUAGCAUUGGCAGGUGCCACAGUAAUGCCAGGGCAUAAAAAUCAUCAUAAUCACAACUUCAAUGAGGUUAAUUCAGGUGAGGGACAUGGCAGGUACUGCAUCGGAUGAGGAUGAGAAACAGAUUUGAAGUUUGCUACCAGCUCUAAACUGCCUACCUCUGGCUAAAUGAGCGGAACUAAAAUUUAAAAUACAUCACUAACAUACACUGCUCAAAAAAAUUAAAGGAACACUUUGAAAACACAUCAGAUCUCAAUGGGGAAAAAUAUCAUGCUGGAUAUCUAUACUGAUAUGGACUGGGUAAUGUGUUAGGAACGAAAGGAUGCCACUUUGUUUGAUGGAAAUGAAAAUUAUCAACCUAUAGAGGGCUGAAUUCAAAGACACCCCAAAAAUCAAAGUGAAAAAAUGAUGCAGCAGGCUAGUCCAUUUUGCUGAAAUUUCAUUGCAGCAACUCAGAAUGGUACUCAGUAGUUUGUAUGUCUCCACGUGCUUGUAUGCAUGCCUGACAACGUCGGGGCAUGCUCCUAAUGAGACGAUGGAUGGUGUCCUGGGGUAUUUCCUCCCAGAUCCGGAGCAGGGCAUCGCUGAGCUCCUGGGCAGUCUGAGGUGCAACCUGGCGGCGUCGGAUGGACCGAAACAUAAUGUCCCAGAGGUGUUCUAUUGGAUUUAGGUCAGGCCAGCGUGGGGGCCAUUCAAUGGUAUCAAUUCCUUCAUCCUCCAGGAACUGCCUGCACACUCUCGCCACAUGAGGCCGGGCAUUGCUGUGCACCAGGAGGAACCCAGGACCCACUGCACCAGCGUAGGGUCUGACAAUGGGUCCAAGGAUUUCAUCCCGAUACCUAAUAGCAGUCAGUGUGCCAUUGUCUAGCCUGUAGAGGUCUGUGCGUCCCUCCAUGGAUAUGCCUCCCCAGGCCAUCACUGACCAACCACCACACUGGUCAUGCUGAACAAUGUUACAGGCAGCAUAACGUUCUCCACGGCUUCUCCAGACCCUUUCACGUCUGUCACAUGUGCUCAGGGUGAACCUGCCCUCAUCUGUGAACAGCACAGGGCACUAGUGGCGGACCUGCCAAUUCUGGUGUUCAAUGGCAAAUGCCAAUCGAGCUCAACAGUGCCGGGCAGUGAGCACAGGGCCCACUAGAGGACGUCGGGCCCUCAGGCCACCCUCAUGAAGUCUGUUUCUGAUUGUUUGGUCAGAGACAUUCACACCAUUGGCCUGCUGGAGGUCAUUUUGUAGGGCUCUGGCAGUGCUCAUCCUGUUCCUCCUUGCACAAAGGAGCAGAUACCAAUCCUGCUGAUGGCUUAAGGACCUUCUACGGCCCUCUCCUAGAGUAACUGCCUGUCUCCUGGAAUCUCCUACAUGCUCUUGAGACUGUGCUGAGAGACGCAGCAAACCUUCUGGCAAUGGCACGUAUUGAUGUGCCAUCCUGGAGGAGUUGGACUUCCUGUGCAACCUCUGUAG